rnacentral:rRNA from 1 species
GAUGAACGCUGGCGGCGUGCCUAAUACAUGCAAGUCGAGCGAACAGACGAGGAGCUUGCUCCUCUGACGUUAGCGGCGGACGGGUGAGUAACACGUGGAUAACCUACCUAUAAGACUGGGAUAGCUUCGGGAAACCGGAGCUAAUACCGGAUAAUAUAUUGAACCGCAUGGUUCAAUAGUGAAAGACGGUUUUGCUGUCACUUAUAGAUGGAUCCGCGCCGCAUUAGCUAGUUGGUAAGGUAACGGCUUACCAAGGCGACGAUGCGUAGCCGACCUGAGAGGGUGAUCGGCCACACUGGAACUGAGACACGGUCCAGACUCCUACGGGAGGCAGCAGUAGGGAAUCUUCCGCAAUGGGCGAAAGCUUGACGGAGCAACGCCGCGUGAGUGAUGAAGGUCUUCGGAUCGUAAAACUCUGUUAUUAGGGAAGAACAAAUGUGUAAGUAACUAUGCACGUCUUGACGGUACCUAAUCAGAAAGCCACGGCUAACUACGUG